UAGACUGGACUAGCUGUUAGUCCAAUACUGUGUUGUUCCAUGCUGGGACUAACAUUAAUGAGACUAAAGGGGACUAGCAUGGACAAAACCCUUCACUAAGAGGUCUUAGCGAGACCCCCCAAUAACCAUGGGACUAGCUAAGACUAUCUUCUCUCGUCCUCGUCAUGCUCAACAACCACUCCCGAUAGACUCCCCGUCAUCUCCGGUCACCUAGAUCAUAAUAAAAUAUUAAUAAUUUAUAUAUUAAAUAAUAUAAUAUUAGAAUUUGUUAUUAUCCAGCUUCUUAGUCCAACACUGCACCAAACGCUUCACUAAGUUAGUCCAGCUUAGUCUAGUCUAAGCCAGUCCAGCUUAGUCCUUGAAGCUAGUCCAGUCCGAGAUAGUCUGGCGCAACAAACGCCCCCU
rnacentral:lncRNA from 1 species